UUACUCAAUCAAGUACCUCACCAGCCUCACCAUUAUCAACAAAUAAGCGGACAUAGCCUACAUCAAGUAUUACAGUAUAUUAGAAAGCAAUAGAGACUAAGGUAAAUAUUUAUAAAAAUUUCUAUGUCUGUGUAAAAAUAAUGUGAACCUGAAUAAACCUAGGCAUUAUCUCUAACCUGAAGGCAGAAAAGUUCAAAUACAAGUAAACACAUAAUCACAAAUAAUAGCUAUUAGGCCUCAUAGUCUCACAGGGCUGACCAAGUCUCAAUCCCUCGUGGUGCAAACCCACACGCCCGUCACCUAGCGUGGCUAUCACAACCUAUUAGGCAUCAUAACCUCACCGGACGGACCAAGUCUCAAUCACUCGCGGUGAAAACUUACACGCCCAUCAUCUAGCAUGGGUAUCACCACCAAACAAUCACAUGAUAUUACUUUCUCUGGGUUAAUACCGUUAAAGCCAGAGUUAAAGUUCUUACUUACCUCAAUCACAUAAAAUCGAACUCCGGGAUGCCCUCGUCUUUGGACUCAGUCUCCAAAAGCUCCAUAUCUAACCAUAAUCAGAUUACUAUUAUAAGACAUAGUCUACAGAAUCGAAUUCCACAAUAAAAACUAAAAAAUAUAAAAAUAAUUCGAAAUCGGCCAAAACCCGGCCCCCGGAGCCAUAUCUCGGAAUUAGUUAAAAAUAAUAUAAUCCUCAACCUCGUUCUCUCCCGAGUCUAACCAUAUAAAAUUUAUCAAAAUCGAACUUCGUUUGGUCCCUCAAGCUCUCCAAAACUUAAACCCUAACUCCCUGAAUUUCACUUUGAAAUUACCAAUCAAAUCCCAAAAACGAAGAUGGAUUCAUUAAACGUAACCAAAAUUGAGUAGAGAACACUUACCCAAUCUAUAUUGUGAAAAUAUCCUCCAAAUCACCCAAGUCCGAGCCCCCCAACUCAAAAUAUGAUCGAAUGAACAAACCCUAGUUUUAUAUAUUUUUCUUCCAGCUAUUCUGCCUCGUUCCUCGUGCUAAACGAUCCCAAAACUCAUAUUCUGUGCCUCCAAUAGAUUCCUUGAGAAAUUAUAAUCAAGUUAGGCUUUUGAAUCACUCAAUUUGACAUUUUAAUGAAUGAGAU
rnacentral:lncRNA from 1 species